rnacentral:lncRNA from 1 species
GUUGGCUGCAGGCUUGGGCUGCGCCGGGCGGGCGGGGAGCCGCUGGCCCUGUGUGUCUGCGGGGAGCGCGGAGCGCAUGAGGUAGGUGAGAGCCCUGAGAGUCUGAGCAAGGCAGCAUGGCAAAAGCCAGUACAGCACCGUGGAUGUCUCAGAACAGGGAAGGGAGUAGGUUGCAGAGUGGUGGAAAGGCUGGCAAGCCUGAGGUCCAGGAAAAGCAGGGAACGAGUUUAUAGCUGCAGGAAACACAGGAGACUCAAACGAGUUCGGAAUGAUUGUUCCAGUGCGAGGAGGAAAUGAGAUCCACUUCUGAAAGAUAGGAAGGGUCAAGGUUGGAGGCCGAGAAGCUGAUGCCAGGCUGUUUCCAAAAAAAGAGGAAAUGACUCCACUGUGAAACCUCCACCCGGUACAUGAAGGCUCAAGAGAAGAUUAUGUCUGAAGCUGACCCAGUAACCGAUUCCUGCAAGGUCUGCUCAGUACAUCCCCUCUAAGCUGGCGGGUGCUGCUCACAGGAUUACAGCGUCCUAUCCUGCUUCCUCACAGCCAUUCCCCAUGAAGCUCCUUCACAGAAACCGAAAAAACAGGAGAACUGAGGCUGCAGCAAGAUACACCACAAAACACUGUCUCCAUUGCCUUUGUUUUUGUACCUAUGUUGCUCUGGUUCAGUACUGCAGCUAGCCUGCGUCUUUGCAUAAUAAAGUAGAGCUGGAG